UUAUGGCUCAGGACGAACGCUGGCGGCGUGCUUCAUACAUGCAAGUCGAACGAUAAGGCACCUUCGGGUGUACAUAAGUGGCGGACGGGUGAGUAAUAUGUAGAGAAUCUGCCCUAGAGAGUGGGACAACAGUUGGAAACGACUGCUAAUACCGCAUAUGAGCGUACCUGAAAUGGUAUUCUUGAAAACUCCGGUGCUCUGGGAUGAGUCUGCAUCUGAUUAGCUAGUUGGGGGUGUAAUGGACCACCAAGGCGACGAUCAGUAGCUGGUUUGAGAGGAUGAUCAGCCACAAUGGGACUGAGACACGGCCCAUACUCCUACGGGAGGCAGCAGUAGGGAAUUUUGCGCAAUGGGGGAAACCCUGACGCCAGCAACGCCGCGUGACCGAUGAAGCCCUUCGGGGUGUAAAGGUCUGUCAGUGGGGACGAAUAUUGACGGUACCCACAGAGGAAGCAUCGGCUAACUCCGUGCCAGCCGCCGC
rnacentral:rRNA from 1 species